rnacentral:rRNA from 1 species
AUGAGGCUCUAUAUUGUUUUGUAUGUGCAAGCCAUAUUAAAAGUUUGUUAUGCUUUUCUAGGAGACUAUUACCAGGACACCAAAUGUCAAAAUUUGAAUGGACAGCAGGCAGACUAUAAAUCAGUUGUAAAGGGGCAAGUGCAAAACUUAUUUGUUCUAAAAAAUAUAAAGCAAGAGCCGGAGGAUGAUGAACUCCACCUCCAUACUACCUAA